rnacentral:rRNA from 1 species
UGGCCUGAAAAAACGGGUAAGAAGCGAAAGUGACGGUACCUGCAUAAAAAGCGCCGGCUAACUACGUGCCAGCAGCCGCGGUAAUUACGUAGGGCGCAAGCGUUAUCCGGAAUUAUUGGGCGUAAAGAGCUCGUAGGCGGUUUGUCGCGUCUGCUGUGAAAAUCCGGAGGCUCAACCUCCGGCCUGCAGUGGGUACGGGCAAACUAGAGUGCGGUAGGGAAGAUUGGAAUUCCUGGUGUAGCGGGGAAAUGCCAAAUAUCAGGAGAAACCCCAAUGGCAAAGGCAGAUCUCUGGGCCGUAUCUGACGUUAAGGACCAAAAGGGGGGAAAAAAACAGUUUUAAAUACCGUGGAACCCCCCCCCGAAAACUUUGGAAACUAUUUGGGGGCUCCUUUCCCGAUUUCCGGGACCAUUUAACCUUUUAUCCCCCCGCGGGGGGAAACGCCCAAGGAUAAAACUUAAGUAAUUU